rnacentral:rRNA from 1 species
UACGCAGGGUGCAAGCGUUGUCCGGAAUUAUUGGGCGUAAAGAGCUCGUAGGCGGUCUGUCGCGUCUGCUGUGAAAACUCAGGGCUUAACCCUGAGCUUGCAGUGGGUACGGGCAGACUAGAGUGCGGUAGGGGAGACUGGAAUUCCUGGUGUAGCGGUGAAAUGCGCAGAUAUCAGGAGGAACACCGGUGGCGAAGGCGGGUCUCUGGGCCGUAACUGACGCUGAGGAGCGAAAGCGUGGGGAGCGAACAGG